UUUUAGCCCUGAUUGUAGCAAACUGCCAUGCAGUGCGGAAAGCAGGAAUAUGG
rnacentral:sRNA from 1 species